UAAGAAUACGGAACUUGGGACAAUGCCUUUGUGAAGUGAUCAUUUAACGUAGGAGGGGAGCUUCCCCGUUGAAAAUCCCUUUGGCAUCCAUAUAACCGAAAAUCAUGUCUCAUGAACCAGGAAAAUGUGAGAUAAGUAACAGUACCUGUGACAUUACUCUUCAGUUAUUCCCUCCACACCACUGCAUAAAAGAGUUGAGCCACAGAAAGCUGUAACUCUUUUAAAAUGGCAUUAAUCAUUCUGCUUAUGAUCUCCUGUCAUCAACCUACACCAGAGAGAAACGCCCUUAAAGCAUAAAUAGCGGCCCCCAAAAAACAGGAAGUUGGGCUUGGCUUGACCUUGGUUGACUCUGUCACGCGGUCUCUGGAGAGCCUGCUGUUACUCAUCGAAACUCGACGAUAAGGAUUCUGCCUUGCCUUGUUUAUACAAAGACCUUGCAGAUUAGACUUAGAUCCCUGCCCCCGUCUGGGGCCAUGUAACUAAUAGGCUCCGAGCAUAUGCUGCGUGUUUUCUCACCUGCAGUGGAUUUUCUGCUCUCGUUCUAAACACUUCAUCCAAAUAAAACUUUCAGUUUGAAGUCCAAAUACUUCAAAAACUGGUGUUCUAUUCGGUCUUUUGCAGCAAGAAGUUGUAGAUUUUAUUUUGUGUGCAGUGAAAUCUAAGUAUUUUUAGGGUUAACCUCUGUUUUCAAACUUCCUGUUUGCUAAUGUGGGGUCGGAGCCCAGAGUGCAUCUGAUUGUCAGCUACAGUAAAUGUUGGAGGGAGCGGGACUGUAUGGGAAAGAGGAAAAAAAAGAGAGGGAGAGAGAGAAAAUAUGACGCUACAUGAUAAGUUCAUCUGAGGAGAACAGAGGGUGGAGGAAAUGCUCUCCUUUCCUCCCUCCCUCGCUCCACUUUUUUCCUGUUCCUAUCUCUCUGUCUCUGAACAAAAUAAACGUAUAUGCAAAGAUUUUGUGCCUCUUUGGAGGGUAUCUCUGUUCAUCUUUAACAAGCAGCAGAUUAGCUGCCCUCUUUCCUUCUGCUGACGAGUAAUAAAGCACAAAAAAGACAUUACCCAAGAAAAAUCCUUGCUCUAUAGCCAAAUCAUCAAA